GGGGAACCUCAUGCCAAGAACAAGUUGUGGCAGCAGAAGAGAUAUUGCAAUCCCUGACGCAAAAUGUUUCAAGUCAGAUGUCCCAACAGCAUUCUUACACCACUGGGCUGCAGGCACGAAUUAAAGAAGCCAGAGACAAAAUAGAGGCGGUCAUGGGUGACGUGAACAACAUCUUGUCCAAAUCUGAGGAGAGACCCUCAGAGAGGGAGGCUUUGCUCAAUUUUGAAGAAUCCCAGAAAGAACUUGAGGCCUCCGUUUCAAAGGCUAUGCAACUCGUCAGUCAAAAAAAAGUCCUGAAGAAUAUAUUGCAAGAUACGAGGAAGCUUUUGAUACUCUGGACAAUGAAGUUCUUGACAAAUUUUUGAAAGCAGCUGAACAAUUGAAAAAUAUUUCAUCUGAUCAUGAAAAGCUGGUAGUGGAAGAGAAGAGUACAGAUGUUCAUCAAAGAUGGAAGGCAGUUCAUAAUGAAAUUAUAUCCUGUGUCCAGCUUAUAAUAGAAAGGGAAAAAAAGAAUUUUAACACAACUUUAAAAAAAAUCAAUAAGCAAUUAGGCAAAGAGAAGAAACUCCUAAGUAUGGAUAGAACCAAAGAACUCAUCAAGGAACAUGAGGUACCUGCCACACUCCUUUUCUGCUCACCUACCUCUCUUUGUGAAUGACUUGUCUGUCCUUGUUCCUUUUUAGGCACACUUUUGCAGCUUGCGUUUGUGGAACUGGGUCCUUGUGCUUGGUGUCAUGUAAACACAGAACAAAAAGGCCACCCAAAUUAUUUCUUCACCUUUUUUGAGUGCAGAUGUUAGCCUUCUUGCAGACUUAUCGUCCACAAAACAAGAAGGAACUCCAUUGUUGCUUCUGAGAAUAGAGAAAAGCCCAGUUCUUCUCAACAAAUUGAUAUCCUUAUGGUACAGGAGG